rnacentral:snRNA from 1 species
GUGCUCGCUUUGGCAGCACAUAUACUAAAACUGGAACAAUACAGAGAAGAUUAGCAUGGCCCCUGCACAAGGAUGGCACACAAAUUCAUGAAAUGUUCCAUAUUUUU